AUUCCAGCUCCAAUAGCGUAUAUUUAAGUUGUUGCAGUUAAAAAGCUCGUAGUUGGAUCUUGGGAGGGGGUCGGCGGUCCGCCUCUUUUGGUGUGCACUGGCGGCCCCUUUCUUUUUGGCCGGGGACGCGCGUCUGGCCUUGACUGGUCGGGCCGCGGAGUCGGCGAUGUUACUUUGAAAAAAUUAGAGUGCUCAAAGCAAGCCAUACGCUCUGAAUACAUUAGCAUGGAAUAACGCGACAGGACUCUGGUCUUAUUGCGUUGGUCUUCGGGACCGGAGUAAUGAUUAAUAGGGACAGUUGGGGGCAUUUGUAUUUCAUGGUCAGAGGUGAAAUUCUUGGAUUCAUGAAAGACAAACUUCUGCGAAAGCAUUUGCCAAGGAUGUUUUCAUUA
rnacentral:rRNA from 1 species